UUCUCUCGUGAAAUAGCCUCCCCCGGAACGGGAGUUCUUUUUUUUCUUUUUUUCCGAAACUACUCUCGCUCAAAACUUACGCUGAAAACCCUGUUGUCGUCGUCGUCUCUCUCGCCGGCUUGCUAUCCUGCGGACCUCAUGCUGAAAACCCUUUCCUGGUGUCGUCUCUCACACCAUCUCAUUCUCCUGCUGCGCAGCUAAAACUUCACCCAGCGUCGUCUUCUGCAACUCGUCCCCGGUUCUCUCGUUGACAUCUGCGAUGUCGUCUCUCUCACCAUCUCACCCGAUUUUCCUUCAGGCGACCAUAUAUCGAUCGAAGAUCUCAAGGGCGGUUUUAAUCGGGCGAUGAGGGCAACUAUUUCUUCUUCCCCUGGCAGCCUUCACGCGAGCUCUCCCGUCUGACAGCAAGUUUUUGCCGACUUCCUUUCUACCUGUUGGAAAGUGUUGGCUGCCCACCGCACUUCUCUCUUUGACUCUCUAUGGCGGUCUGUUUCUCUAUAUCUGCCCUGUGUUCUUCGUCUUUACUAUUGAAGGCUUCUCCCUUUUGCAGAUUUGUUCUGCCUGUGUGGAGGCCGCUGGUGCCGGUGCAGUAGGGCGGCUGGUCAUAAAAAAUCAUGUUCCUCUCUCGUUCUUCUUCUUGUUUUUGUUGUUUCUUCAUUUGGGAUUGUGAAUUUGGAUUCGAUUUUUCUUGGAGCAUUUUAAUUUGAGAUUUUUUUGUGUGUGAUA